rnacentral:lncRNA from 1 species
GCACCUCGCUGCUCCAGCCUCUGGGGCGCAUUCCAACCUUCCAGCCUGCGACCUGCGGAGAAAAAAAAUUACUUAUUUUCUUGCCCCAUACAUACCUUGAGGCGAGCAAAAAAAUUAAAUUUUAACCAUGAGGGAAAUCGUGCACAUCCAGGCUGGUCAGUGUGGCAACCAGAUCGGUGCCAAGAAGAGGAGGAGGAUUUCGGUGAGGAGGCCGAAGAGGAGGCCUAAGGCAGAGCCCCCAUCACCUCAGGCUUCUCAGUUCCCUUAGCCGUCUUACUCAACUGCCCCUUUCCUCUCCCUCAGAAUUUGUGUUUGCUGCCUCUAUCUUGUUUUUUGUUUUUUCUUCUGGGGGGGGUCUAGAACAGUGCCU